ensembl:lincRNA
CGAGCGAUGUCACAAUCAGGUCGGAACAGCACACGUGGUGGCUGUGGAGUCUGAGGCCCAGGCCCGCUGCAUGUGCAGAGACCUGUGUGUGGCCUCCCACAUCCUCAUACAGUGUCAGUGCUGUGUGGGGAGCUGCUGUACUAUACCGCUUAGAACACGACGGCCAAGAAAAAGCCGCACUUGCGCGGUGCAGACUCACGUCUUUCCUCAGUUUCUAUCUGCGGCUGAAUCCCCGAUGAGAAAGAUGUGAUACCCUCGGUCGCUGUGCUUAGCUAGCAUGGAAGGUGUUUCCCCACGACAAACGUCACACACACACACACACACACACACACACACACACACACACACACGAGAAGAGAAGAAAACCCUGGCAGGACGCCCUAUGGAAGGAACCAAAGAUGUUUCCAGGAAAUCACUCUUGGAGUUUUACCUUAAAUAAACAUGAAAAGAACAUUCGUGAGAGGUCUCACCUCCUCCGCGGAUGUGAACCGACACUCAGGGGACCAGCACCCAGGUGUGACAUCACACCCUGGCCUUCUCCCGGAGAGACCUCUCCCGUCUAACCAAGCCCGAACAGCAAUUCCACUCAGAACCCCUGCAGCUGAAGCAUCACCCACCAUGAGCUUCCUGCCCUUACACUGCCGGCAGCCUCCUGACACACCAAGCCCCUGCCAGAGCCUGACAGCACCAGGGAGCUGGCUAACACCUCAUCCUUCUUAUUCAGUGUUACGGCGACAUCCCCACCCCUAGCCCAUCUCAGGUCUUCACGAGCCCAGCUGACACCCACGCUACCUGUUUAACCGGCAAACUCUUGAAGAUCAGUGCUCUCUCCAUUCCAGAGGGGAAGAAACAAGACAAGGGGAAGUCAACUCUCCGGGCUCCACUCACACAGGGAAGGACACUACGCCAGUCAUGCUGAGCCUGAAACCCCGGUUUUGCUUAAUCGGUGCAAGUCGAAGAUAAUGUGUCUCACACACAUAGGAAAACCUUCAUCAACACGAAGAGACCAGGCGGAAUAUCUCCACGGCCAAGCCCAACCUGGGGCAGAGGCCCUGGGGGGUGUCCCAAGGUGACACUGCGUCACCCCAAGUUCCUCUUGGGAAUCACCUUCGCCAGGCUCAGCUCGAGGGGUCUGGGAGGGGAGACCCUGUCUCUCAACCCAAGGGUAGGCGUAAGGCCUGGGGGAGGCCAAGUAGAGUCCCCCGUUCCCUCAGCUGUCACGGCACACUCCAGGGACACAGGCCGCGGCCAGAGAGCUCAGGACGCAGGCCUCAGUGGGCGGGCGCUGGUACUGCCUUUGCAGGGAAGAGCGAGCCUGGGCUGAAGCCAGCAUACGGGACCACAGAGCCAAGGGCAAGCAGACCCGCCUGAGGCCGCAGCUGCUCCUGAGGCCACAGAGCUCAGAGGCAGACACCGGCCCGCCGGGGCUGCACUGGGUGAGUUACGUCUCCUACAUCCUCAGUCCGAGGUGCCUGGUGCAGCUGGGCAGCUUUGGGGUUCAGGCACCAGCUAGAGAGUCCCCCAAACUGUGGGCUCAAUCAAGACUGCAGCCCAGGGUCCCGCAGCCUCACUGCAGUGCUGUCCGGACA